CGCCUGUUUAUCAAAAACAUGGCUUUUUGUGAAUUGUUUAAGGUUUGGCCUGCUCCAUGAUUAUUAAAUAGCCGCAGUAUUUUGACUGUGCAAAGGUAGCAUAAUCAUUAGUUUCUUAAUUGGAAGCUGGAAUGAAUGGUCGGAUGAGGAAAUAACUGUCUCAUUUUAAUUUAUAUUGAAUUUUAUUUUUGAGUUAAAAAGCUUAAAUGGUAUAAAAAGACGAGAAGACCCUAUAGAGUUUAAUAGAAUUAGAUAUAGAAAAAUUUAGGUUUUAAGUUUUUAGUAUUGAUUUCUAUUUGGUUGGGGUGACACAGAAUUGAAUUAAACUUCUUUAUAUUUAUACAUUGAUUAAUGAUUAUAUGAUCCUUUAUUUAAGAUUAAAAGACAAAAUUACCUUAGGGAUAACAGCGUUAUCCUUUCAGAGAGUUCUAAUCGAUGAAAGGGGUUGCGACCUCGAUGUUGGAUUAAAGUUUAUUUAUGGUGCAGAAGCUAUAAAAUUAAGUCUGUUCGACUUUUGAAACUUUACGUGAUCUGAGUUUAGACCGG
rnacentral:rRNA from 1 species